CAGUCGCCGCGGUAAUACGUAGGGUGCAAGCGCUAAUCGGAAUUGCUGGGCGUAAAGCGUGCGCAGGCGGUUAUAUAAGUCAGAUGUGAAAUCCCCGGGCUCAACCUGGGAACUGCAUUUGAGACUGUAUGGCUAGAGUGUGUCAGAGGGGGGUAGAAUUCCACGUGUAGCAGUGAAAUGCGUAGAUAUGUGGAGGAAUACCGAUGGCGAAGGCAGCCCCCUGGGAUAACACUGACGCUCAUGCACGAAAGCGUGGGGAGCAAACAGGAUUAGAGACCCGCGUAGUCCCUGUCUCUUAUAC
rnacentral:rRNA from 1 species